UGGACAUGUUCCCUAGAUUCCUGGACACACCUGGCCUUAUUGAACAAGAUUUUUUGCUACUAUUUGGAGAAGAGAUCUCAGGAAAGUUUCUGGCAAAGUGGCCAACCUACUUCAAACAGAGAGUGAUCAAUGACAGCAAAGGAUUGUCCUCCAGUCACCACAUUGAGGAACUCAUCAAAGAUGCUCAGCGUGAACCUGGUGAUGACUCUACAGGGUGGGAUAGUGACAUCUCAGCCUUACUGUUGCUGCUGUAUCUCCUGCCCCCAACUCCAAAAGGCCACAAGAAGGCAGCAAAGAUCAGCCCCCUUCAGGCAGCUGACCAUGUGGUGCGAUUUCUUAGGGUGAGUUUUCAUGUGU